UGAGAUCACAUGCUUGGAACUGGGUGCAGGUGUGCAACUCCAGUUGGCUGUUGGGGGGAAUCCAAUAUCAUCAAGCACAGGCACAAGGCAUGCCGUGCGGGGCUGUUAUGCGGGGCUUUGCACAGCACAUUACUCUUUAUGAUCCAGACUACUAGCCAGGACGGUAUCUUGGAUCUUGCAUACCCAGUCAGGGUGUAGCAGUCGCUCACCUGACGGGAGGACUGACAGAGCGGAAGCGUGGAGUUAUUAGUCCUCGUCGAUGUAGGAAGAAGUCCAACCAAGCGGCAAGCACUAGCGUACAUAAGAUGUGUAUGUAACGGUUAGAGACGGCGGCAGCGGAGUCUUGAACUCCGAACACCUAGUAAUGUGAUACGUCAGUGUCUGGCCAGAACACCCCGCCCGGGUAGCUUAUAUCUCGGCCUACCUGCCGG
rnacentral:lncRNA from 1 species